rnacentral:rRNA from 1 species
AUCUGCCUGGUAGUGGGGGACAACAUUUCGAAAGGAACGCUAAUACCGCAGACGUCCUACGGGAGAAAGCAGGGGACCUUCGGGCCUUGCGCUAUAAGAUGAGCCUAGGUCGGAUUAGCUAGUUGGUGAGGUAAUGGCUCACCAAGGCGACGAUCCGUAACUGGUCUGAGAGGAUGAUCAGUCACACUGGAACUGAGACACGGUCCAGACUCCUACGGGAGGCAGCAGUGGGGAAUAUUGGACAAUGGGCGAAAGCCUGAUCCAGCCAUGCCGCGUGUGUGAAGAAGGUCUUCGGAUUGUAAAGCACUUUAAGUUGGGAGGAAGGGCAGUAAAUUAAUACUUUGCUGUUUUGACGUUACCGACAGAAUAAGCACCGGCUAACUCUGUGCCAGCAGCCGCGGUAAUACAGAGGGUGCAAGCGUUAAUCGGAAUUACUGGGCGUAAAGCGCGCGUAGGUGGUUUGUUAAGUUGGAUGUGAAAUCCCCGGGCUCAACCUGGGAACUGCAUCCAAAACUGGCAAGCUAGAGUAUGGUAGAGGGUGGGUGGAAUUUCCUGUGUAGCGGUGAAAUGCGUAGAUAUAGGAAGGAACACCAGUGGCGAAGGCGACCACCUGGACUGAUACUGACACUGAGGUGCGAAAGCGUGGGGAGCAAACAGGAUUAGAUACCCUGGUAGUCCACGCCGUAAACGAUGUCACUAACCCGUUGGGAGCCUUGAGCUCUUAGUGGCGCAGCUAACGCAUUAAGUUGACCGCCUGGGGGAGUACGGCCGCAAGGUUAAAACUCAAAUGAAUUGACGGGGGCCCGCACAAGCGGUGGAGCCAUGUGGGUUUAAUUCGAAGCAACGCGAAGAACCUUACCAGGCCUUGACAUCCAAUGAACUUUCCAGAGAAUUGGAUUGGUGCCUUCGGGAACAUUGAGACAGGUGCUGCAUGGCUGUCGUCAGCUCGUGUCGUGAGAAGGUUGGGGUUAAGUCCCCGUA